rnacentral:rRNA from 1 species
UGGGGAAUAUUGCACAAUGGGCGCAAGCCUGAUGCAGCCAUGCCGCGUGUAUGAAGAAGGCCUUCGGGUUGUAAAGUACUUUCAGCGGGGAGGAAGGGAGUAAAGUUAAUACCUUUGCUCAUUGACGUUACCCGCAGAAGAAGCACCGGCUAACUCCGUGCCAGCAUCCGCGGUAAUACGGAGGGUGCAAGCGUUAAUCGGAAUUACUGGGCGUAAAGCGCACGCAGGCGGUUUGUUAAGUCAGAUGUGAAAUCCCCGGGCUCAACCUGGGAACUGCAUCUGAUACUGGCAAGCUUGAGUCUCGUAGAGGGGGGUAGAAUUCCAGGUGUAGCGGUGAAAUGCGUAGAGAUCUGGAGGAAUACCGGUGGCGAAGGCGGCCCCCUGGACGAAGACUGACGCUCAGGUGCGAAAGCGUGGGGAGCAAACAGG